CCUGCCUCUAGAGGCAGUGCAAGCGUGGCUACUGUGUCACAGGUGCAUCAGUUGGUGACAGAGAGGAGAGAGGCCAUGUCUAUGCUCAGUGUUCUGACCUGUGAACAUCUGAAUGAUUAGUAUCCUAACACU